rfam:Penicillium chrysogenum Wisconsin 54-1255 complete genome, contig Pc00c15
ACAUACGACCAUAGGGUGUGGAGAACAGGGCUUCCCGUCCGCUCAGCCGUACUUAAGCCACACGCCGGUGAGUUAGUAGUUGGGUGGGUGACCACCAGCGAAUCCUCACUGUUGUAUGUU